rnacentral:rRNA from 1 species
CACGUAGGAGGCAAACGUUAUCCGGAUUUACUGGGCGUAAAGCGCGUGUAGGUGGUUUGGUAAGUAGGGCGUGAAAGCUCCUGGCUCAACUGGGAGAGGACGUUCUAAACUGCCAAGCUUGAGGAUGGUAGAGGGAGGUGGAAUUCCGGGUGUAGCGGUGGAAUGCGCAGAUAUCCGGAGGAACACCAGUGGCGAAGGCGGCCUCCUGGACCACUCCUGACACUCAGACGCGAAAGCUAGGGUAGCAAACGGGAUUAGAGACCCCGGUAGUCCUAGCCCUAAACGAUGUAGACUUGGCGUCGGUGGUUUAAUCGCCAUCGGUGUCGUAGCUAACGCGAUAAGUCUACCGCCUGGGGACUACGGCCGCAAGGUUAAAACUCAAAGGAAUUGACGGGUCCCCGCACAAGCAGCGGAGCGUGUGGUUUAAUUCGAUGCUACACGAAGAACCUUACCUGGGUUUGACAUAGAGGUAGUAGGGAAGCGAAAGCGGACCGACCCUUCGGGGAGCCUCUACAGGUGUUGCAUGGCU